rnacentral:rRNA from 1 species
GGGUGAGUAAUAUAUCGGAACGUACCCAGUCGUGGGGGAUAACGCAGCGAAAGCUGUGCUAAUACCGCAUACGAUCUCUGGAUGAAAGCGGGGGACCUUCGGGCCUCGCGCGAUUGGAGCGGCCGAUAUCAGAUUAGCUAGUUGGCGGGGUAAAGGCCCACCAAGGCGACGAUCUGUAGCUGGUCUGAGAGGACGACCAGCCACACUGGAACUGAGACACGGUCCAGACUCCUACGGGAGGCAGCAGUGGGGAAUUUUGGACAAUGGGCGCAAGCCUGAUCCAGCAAUGCCGCGUGCAGGAUGAAGGCCUUCGGGUUGUAAACUGCUUUUGUACGGAACGAAAAGGUCUGCCCUAAUACGGUGGGCCCAUGACGGUACCGUAAGAAUAAGCACCGGCUAACUACGUGCCAGCAGCCGCGGUAAUACGUAGGGUGCGAGCGUUAAUCGGAAUUACUGGGCGUAAAGCGUGCGCAGGCGGUUAUAUAAGACAGAUGUGAAAUCCCCGGGCUCAACCUGGGACCUGCAUUUGUGACUGUAUAGCUAGAGUACGGUAGAGGGGGAUGGAAUUC